rnacentral:lncRNA from 1 species
GAGAGAGAAGGAAGAGGAAGAGAGAAAAUAGAAGAAGAUAAGAGGAGAUAAUAGAGAGAGUUAUCUUUGUACUCCUAUUAUUUCAAAUUAUAAUGAAAGCACCACUGCUGCCCCGAGGACGUACUCCAGUCACACUGACUGUAGAGGAACCUCGUAAAUUUUGUGUCUUGUUUCAUUUAUUCCACUGCACCCACAGUCGAUUUCACAACACGUUAUCAGCACGAGAAGCUCUCAUGUCGGUGGAAAGCACUACUUACCUCUCACAUCCUUCAGCUGGAAUCUCACAGAUAAGAAACAAUUUUCAUUUCAUCUUCAAAUCUCAGUACAAUUGAUUUUCUUGAAGCAACUAUAUAUAUUGUUGUAUGACUGUAUAUCAUCCUUUGCAGAAGCAAAAGAGUACAUACUCAAAAUUCGUAAAGAAUUUGACAGCCAUGUAAACAGCCUCUGAACUCCAACUUGCGGACCUCGGAUUAAAAUACUUUCUUCUUGAAAGUUGUUCGUCCACUCAGUAUCUACAACAUAUCAAAAUUUCAGAAAACUUUAACGGUGCGAUCGUUGCAGAUGUCUGAAAUACUAAACAGUUUCCAAUUUCCGCAGAAAACUGGACAGCCACCUUAUGAGUACCAUAACUCUAUUUCUGUAGCUCAAAUCGAAAUUGUUUCUUCACGAAAGUUGUUUGGUAUCCUCUUAUCCAUAUCAUACUAAAUUUUGAACUAAAUCUAACGGUUUGAUCUUCUCAUAAGUUGCAGAGACACUCUUGACUCCAAAACUUAUGGGAACCGUUU